ACGCCACAGACGGAGAAGUAAGGGAUGCAGAUGAACUAGGAAAGCCUUUUAAAUUGUAGGGCUUUGACAUCCAGAAGUAAGAAUCCUGUUCUUGGAGAUCUACCUUCCUGCAAACUUCAGCUCCUCGGGAGCAGUUGACAAUUACAGAUGGGUGUGUUAAAUCAGGGUUAGAUCAGAAUUCUGCAAGUUUUAUUGGGAUCCCAGUAGAAGACAUCAGAACACCAGAUGCUGGCCUGGACAGAUGUACCUACAGUAAACCACACCAAUCUCUCUGCUUUUGCAUAGAUGGCUGACUACUACCAUAUUCUAUGAAGGUAUUAUUAUAGUAAAACUGAGCACCUGUGACAGUGGAAUUUGUAGUUAUAAAGAAUAGUCACACAUGCGUAUCAGUACAUUUGAAGCAACAGAGAAUAUUUUUUAGGAGUUGCACUUUUUUUGUACUCUCUCUCUUACAAACACAAAACAACAGUUAUACCAUUUGAAAUUCUCAGGUGCACAAAUCCUAUUCUGCAAUUCACAAAUUACAAAAUGUAUAUGCUCACAGUUAGGCUAAAGUUGCUGCAGUGAAUGAGGGGCAAAACACUCACAGUUGAAUAAAAAAAUCUCAAGUCAUAAACAAAUUUUGCACAUUUGUAUGUACAGUUGUAGUCAGAAUUAUUGGCACCGUUGGUAAAUAUGAAGCCUGUGAAAAUAAAACUGCAUUGUUAAUCCAUUUUGAUAAAAGAUCCUCCUUGCCUUGCAUUUAAAAACUAUAGACACACAUCUUCAAGGCAGAUUUGUGACAUUUUAAACUAUACAGAUUUAUUUUUACAGGCUUCUUUGAUCAUAUUUACUAAGGGUGCUAAAAAUUCUGACCAAGACCAUAAAUGAGAACUGAUAUCUCACAUGACAAAUCAGUAUGUGACAUCCCACUCACACACUUGCGCUUUAUCCAGUGAUAAACAUAUCAUGUACCCUUUGACCCACUACUACUAGCACAGUACACACAGCAAGUUUUUAUUUAUUUUAAUGAUUUGGAUCAAACAGAAUAGAACAGAAUACAGUGGGUAAAUGCUAGACUCUGUUAAAUUCUAAUAAAGUCUGUAAAUAUGUAUAGUUCUAAUAAACACACAUUUCAGGAAAAAAAAAAAAAAAAAAUUAUAUAAUGAAAUUAAUAUUACAGAAUAUUCUGGAAAAAUUAAAUAUAGCCCUGCAUAAAUCUGGUUUAACUGGGCCUGUGAAUUUCUUAAUUUGUGAUUUGUGGAACAGGAUUUUUGCACCUGCAUUUUGAGAAGGUUUUGUUGUGUUUGUGAGAGAAAGAAACAAAAUAAAAGUUUGCAACACCUAAAACAUUUUCUUGAUGACUUCACUGAUAUGUUCUCUACAAAUACAAAUUCCACUGUCACAGGUGUUCAGUUUGGCUACAAAAAUACCACAUACAAUAGAUCCACUGUAUGCAAAUAUAACAAAGGGACAUAAACAAUUGAAAAUUUAGGGAUGUAAACUAUAAUCCUAAACUUUUAUUUAGGAUUAUAAAUCUAAAAG